CGGGCGCCUGUUCCUUGCGCUGUGCUCGCCGAUGCGACCCUUGCGGUAUGCGGCUGCUUUUGGCAGAGAGCUCAUGAAGGAUUUCAUUGAGUGUGAAGACAGAGAGCAGAGACAGAAAAGAGAAGAAGGCGGCCGCUGCCUUUGUAGUCUGGCUGGAAUGCGGAAAUGUUGAAGCACUAUGUCAAACUUUUUUGAAACGGGGUCAAAUCACAUUCAGCCAGCGUGGGAAACCAAGGGGAGAAAAAAGUAGAAGCGAGGUGGGGGGAAACUCUUUUGCUCCUGCUGCUGGUCUCAAACCGAGCUCAGGAACCGAGGAGAGAGAGAGAAACUGGGACUGCGCGGAGAGGCGGCGGCGGCGGCGGCGUGCAGAGCUAACGCGGAGCCUUGCAUUCGGGAGACUGUUCGUUGCAAGGCUUUGAUCAGCCCCAGAAAAUUUAGCAGCGCCUCUUUCACUUUUUCCUCAAAGAGGGGGAGGGGAUCCUCAGCGCUUUAAGGUGUAGUCUGCCCUCCCGGCUGGCAGGAAGAUGCGAAUGCGGGGCAGCGAUAGAGCUUCGGAGUUGCUGCUGCCACUACCUGUGUGGCCCCAGUCGCGGCUGCUGGGCUCCGCUCGUGGAAGCUCACCCUCCCCUGUCAUCAUGUGAACGCUUCGAAUCCGGAUCGAUUCUGCUGAGUGUCUCAUUGUCACGGGAAGCGGAAUUUUUAAAAAUAUCUAUCUAUCUAUCUAUCUAUCUAUCUAUCUAUCUAUCUAUCUAUCUCUAUCUAUCUUAGAAAAGACGCUCUCCAUUGUUUUUCCUGCCUCACCAGGUCUUUGCUUUUCAUCUUUCUCUCUCUCUCUUUUUUUUUAAAAAAACUAUUUUUUAACUCCUGUCUUGCUGGAGACCACUUAAGUGGUAACUUCCUCGGAAGAAGCCGAAGCUGCGCCUGAGCAAUUCCAGAUUGAAUUGGGUUUACACAGACAUUUAUUCCAAAGACCAUUGACCAUCUAAGUAAUAGGGCAACCACGGUUUAUUACUACAGUUCUUGAAUGUUACGUCCUGUUGACUGGCCCAUCUGUAAUUGUUCUGGAUACUUGUUGAAGUAGCAGAAAGCGCAUUUUGGCAGCUGGAAUCCAGGUCAACAGAUUCAACAGUUGGAACAUCAGGCAACAAUUUGUGAAGAAGGAAAGCCGUGAAGUCAUGGAUAAGGACAACAUGAGCCUAGCUGACCAGCAGUAUGAAUGUGUGGCGGAAAUUGGUGAAGGAGCCUAUGGGAAAGUGUUCAAGGCUCGAGACUUGAAGAAUGGAGGGCGCUUUGUAGCACUGAAGAGGGUGCGGGUGCAGACCAGCGAGGAAGGGAUGCCACUUUCCACUAUACGCGAGGUGGCAGUCUUGAAGCAUCUGGAAACAUUUGAGCAUCCCAACGUGGUCAGGUUAUUUGAUGUAUGCACAGUAUCCCGAACUGAACGAGAGACGAAAUUAACACUGGUGUUUGAACAUGUUGAUCAAGACUUGACCACUUACUUGAAUAAAGUUCCAGAGCCUGGUGUUCCUAGUGAAACUAUAAAGGAUAUGAUGUUUCAGCUGCUGCGAGGCCUUGAUUUUCUACAUUCACACAGAGUGGUCCACCGUGAUUUAAAGCCCCAAAAUAUUCUAGUUACCAGCAGUGGACAAAUAAAAUUAGCUGACUUUGGUCUUGCACGAAUCUACAGUUUUCAGAUGGCUCUUACUUCUGUGGUUGUUACUUUGUGGUAUAGAGCUCCUGAAGUUCUGCUUCAAUCCAGUUAUGCAACACCAGUUGAUCUUUGGAGUGUAGGUUGCAUAUUUGCAGAAAUGUUCCGUCGCAAGCCGCUUUUCCGUGGUAACUCUGAUGUUGAUCAGCUAGGAAAAAUCUUUGAAGUAAUUGGUCUUCCUGAAGAAGAAGAUUGGCCUAUUGAUGUUGCCCUCCCAAGAAAUGCUUUUGCUUCUCAAUCCCCACAGCCCAUUGAACUUCUUGUAACAGAUAUUGAUGAACUGGGCAAAGACUUGCUACUUAAAUGUCUGACAUUCAAUCCUAUGAAGAGAAUAUCAGCUUAUGAUGCCUUAACCCAUCCUUAUUUUCAUGACUUGGAGAAAUGCAAAGAGAAUACAGAUUCUGAUGUGUCCUCCAGUCAAAACUCCACAGAGAUGAAUUCACUGUAAGGCUUUAUCAGGCUAACCUAAGGAGGAACAAACUAGCUUGAUAAGAUCACUGUUAAAGCAUUGAACGAUGCCACCAUGGAUUAGAAGAAUUCAGAGUCUCUGCCAAAAUGUGACUUGAUUUCUGUUUCUGGGUGCUGAAGUUUGACGUGUCCCUCCUCUGGGAGUUAUGGUGGUAGUUUGUUUUGCUGUUUAUCUGCUUGAUCAUGAAUUCAGAAAUAUUAUUGAAGUAAUAUUUAAAAGAGUGACAUGGAGCUAUUGAAUCUCUCUACCCUAAAGUUAAGGGGAAAAUGUAAAAAAUACAUCUGGCUAUUAUAAUCCACAGGUUCCUUCCUUCAUAAGAGGGAGAUGAUAACUUUUAUUGUGUCUGUGACUUAAUCUUCAAAUAUUAAUAAUAUACAUAUGGUAAAGGGAACAGGUGGUUUUAAAGAAAUUAAUUUGUAGCAAUCAUUCCUAUCAUCUACUAAAUUUAUGUCAAUGACUGCACAACAUUUCAUCUUUAUCUUUUCUGAUAGUACACUUCUAUGACUUUGGAAAUUAUGAAUUUCAGAUUUAUCAUUUUCAAAUUCAAAGAUGAAAUAAGAACAAAAAUAAGUGUUCGUAUAUAUGAACACCUAAUUUUGCCUACUCGCACAUGCACAUAUGUGUACAUAAGCUAAGAUAGCAACCUGGAAAUAUCUCCAAAAUAAGCCCUGUUAGAUUUAGUGAGGCGCAACUGUGCAUAGAAUUUAUUCUUCGAUAAAUUACAAACUAUUCCCACUUAUUUGAGACUGAACUCCCAUUAAAUCCCAAGUGAAUUUCUGCACAGCACAUAUAAAAACAAAAAUCUGCAGUCCUGUGUGUUUUUCUCUUGUGGGUAAAUUAUUUUGAACAAAAUGUGCUUUUAUUCAACUGCAGAUAUAUUUAAAGCUGGUCCUUUGAAAUCUCUGGGACAAUAGAGUACAAUCCACAGGGAUUAUAAUGGAAGUACUAUACUGAAAUACUGUAUGGUGGUGUAAACAAGGAUCUAGUUUACUGAGACUUACUUCUGAAUAAACAUGCAGUGGAUUAUGCUGUGAGAAACGAGGUGGUCAUAGCUGACAUUCAAGCCUGUAUGUCAUGCUUGCAAUUAACUCAGGCAUCAACCAUAUAGCCUUCACAUUUGUUUCAAGUUUGCUUCCAAUCUGACAUUUAAUAUAAUUCAAUAGAUUUUAUUUUUCUAUAUGAAAAUAUUGGAAAACCAUAUUGCUCUACUUUGCUUUGAAUUUCACAUUUGCUUUAUUUGAAAGCCAAUGUUAAUAAGUCACAUGGAUAUGUUAGCACAAAUAUUUUAAAUCUUGCAUUAUAUGUCUGUAUGUUUUAGAGCUUUUGUAAAAAAAAAUAGAAUUUUAAAAAGAAAUUUUAUUUUUGUAGCAUGAUUUGAUGAAAUAUUCUUAAUCCACGUCUCACUUGGUUGCCUUUAAUAUAGCUCCAGUGCCAAUAUAUUAAUGGUUGUAACAAAUCAGAAGAUACAGGUGCUAUUGGAACUAAUUGAUGGAUUGUACUCUUAUCUAUUAUAAUUGUUGCUCUGCUAUCUAAUAAUCUUUUCCUGUUUACUAAGUUGUAUGAACUAUUUUUUCAUACUUUGAAUAUUAAUUCCUGGAAUAAGUCCCCAAUAUUUUCCUGUAUAAUACUCAUUUGUUUUAUUUGUAGCCAUAUAAGGUGUGAAAAGGUGCAUGAAUCCAAAAAUUCAGCAUUGCAUUUGGUUUGUUUUCCUAGGUGGUGUAUCUCAAUAAUUUGUUCUCAGUGGAAUAUAGGUAGGCUCAUGUGAAUAUCCCUUUGUUAUAUCCUUUUGUUAUAUAAUGUCCUCUGUCAAGACUACAGUUGUCCAAAUUACUAAACAAAACGCACUGUUAUAGAAAUUUCUCACAGUUUGGAAAACAUUUUCCAGAAACUGAAACUCUGCUAUGCUGACAUUUUGCAUUUAUCUUGAACUUCUGUAGAGUAACACCAUGACAAUUAUUGAUUUUUAGUUAGUACUAUUGUAAUCCAGAAUGAAUUUAAGAGAGUUUAGUGUUUUAUGGGAAUAUCAAUGAAAUUAUUUCUGACUAAGCAACAGUAGGUAUGUCAUACUUCACAAAUAUGAGCAAGUAGCCUGUUAUAUUUCCAAUUUUUACAUUGUGGAGAUGCAGUGAAGCUGACCCAAAGAAUUCUACUGAGGAACAACUUGUUAAAAGGCAUAGCUCCAAAUGCUGAAAAUCUAAUAUUGUAUUCCUAAUAUUUAGUUAGAAAGGACAAACCUACCUUGAACCUUGGAUAGUUGGUUUAAUACAAAUAGUAUGGACUAGAUAAAUUAAUAGUUGAAUAUGGUUAAUUGUAGUAUCCUGUGUUCUUUACGUUUCUACCCUCCCUGAUGAAUCCUAGUUAUUACAUUUAUCAUAUAGUUCUAAGAUGAACAUCUAAUUGCUUCUCUUAGUUUCAAGAUACAUUUUUAGAAAUAUAAGAAUGUUUGUUCUGCUAUUCAUGCUACCAACUAUGUGCAAUAGAAAUUAUUCAACUUUAUGUAUAUUUAUUCAUUUAGGUUUGGCAUAGACUUAGCUCAGGGAAUACCUGCAGAAGAAUCUCUCCUGCCACCAGUUCAGUUCCUUGGCUCUGACCCAAAGGACUUGCCCUAAAACUCAACGGGCUUGCAGUUUCCAGCAGAAUUUUUCACUUCUCAUUUCUGACCAUAAUUCCUUAGGAUGUGACAGAAGACCCUCUGAGGAGUUUUGAGGUGGAAGUGACUCAAAACCUUGCUGCACAUUUGGAGCCCAUCAUUUACAGUACAGCUCUUUGGGCUAAAGAACAAUAGAUCGAAUGCUGAGAAAAAGUAGUCCAGCAAAAUUUUCUUGCAGCAUGAUAGGAGUCUUUCAUGUGUUAUGUGUGCAUUGUAACCUGCACCAGCUAUACUAUUCACCAGCAUACCAUAAAAUAUUUGUUUUGUUUAUGAGAAUUGUUUCAGUUAGCUAGUCUCAUUUUUAACAGGAUUCUUCUUUCUUGGCCUGAAUAUAUGCUUACACAGCAAUUCAAAGUUUGCAGUCUAAGAUAACAUGUAAUGAGUUCUAGCGUCUUUGAUUCUAUUGCAAGGUAUUACAUUGAAAUUUAUAUUUAGUACCUUUUAUUUUAACCUAUUAGAGAGCAAUAUAUUUCAAGCUGGUUCUGCUUGCUGUCAGCCAUUUUCACGCCUAUUCCUCUUACUAAAAGUUAUCUGCUCAUGUAUGUAUUUUGUUACUUGUUUAUAUAAAAUAUGCAUACAUUAUUCACAGGUUACAUUGUUCAGAUUUCUUGGCUGCUAGAAAUUACAAUUACUUUAAAAUGUAGGAUAAUCCAGAAAGAUACAAUCUCAGGUAUCUUUGCAGUUAACAGUAUCUUCUUUAUGGCUUUUAUAUUUUAUCGUUUUGCAUAUAAAUUCAUCCAAUAAUCCAGUACACACCACGUUGAGUUUAAAAAGGUUAAGUAUUGUUGUUUUGAAAGCUUUUAGCUAGUGAUUUAGAAAUUUUCUAUCCUUCAUGAUGUCAGGAUAAAUUAACCACAUAUAUUUUAUUAAAUCAUCAUAAACUAUUUUAUAUUCAUUUCACUUCAGCAUAUUUCACUUAAUUAAUAUGUAUAGAUAUAAUUUUAGUUCCACACAUGGGAAUGACAAACUAAAUGUAACAAGUAAGAGUCAGGAUUUCAGAAAACAGUGUAUGUUAGUAUGGAGAAAUUUCAGAUAUACUUAAGGAGACCUUAGCAUACCCUUACAUUUAACCAUCCAUCUGAUUAUAAAGAACAGGAAAUAGCAUGUAGGUGAGAGAACUGCAAGUAGGGAAGAGAAUAGCAGUAGUUGCUGGAAGGCACUCAAAGCUUAAAUCUCCUCUGCCAGCUCACCAAAAGCUAAUAAACUUCUUUUUUGCAGGUUACUAAUCUCUAAAACCUUAUUUUGAAGAGUGUUUUGAUAACAUAAAUAUUGACUUUCAUCCAACAAUUGGCUUCCUUCUCGGGAUAUUCAGCAUAUUGUGUUCAUAAUAUUGUUAGUUAUAUUGUCAAAAAUUAAUAUAGUCAGCCAGUUGUAUAUUUAGCAAAUAAAAGCUUUUGAAUAGUUUCAAUAUACAUUCUAAAGGAUUGCAGGGAAAAUAUUAUUUUAUUGUUUUUUCAAGUGUGCAGUCUGUUUGGUUUUUUUCAUAUUUAUCUAAUUACAAACUAGUGGAAUUUUAGAAUAUAAAAAUUAGAAUUGCAAAUUUCUAGGAGCAUGCUUAUUUAAAGUUAUGCUGCCUGCUUACAUUUUGAUGAACAUGUCUAAAUCAUUCCAAUAGUUGCAAAUAUCAGAGUAAAAAAAUCAGAGUAAUAAGUAAUAAAAUAGGUAUUUUGCCUUCAGUCAAUAUAAUUUGCACUUUUGUUCAGAACUGGUCAUUCAUUAUUUAUGCUGUUGCAUUCAUAUAAAUAUUGUGGUCCUCCACUUGCCAAGUGGACAUUUCACCUACUGAAAUCAAUGAACCUUUCAAGUACUAAGUUCAAGAUUGGAAUGUUUGAUAACGUACAUACUCACAUAUUAUUCACAUUUAUACUUUUUUCAUUAUGCACUGUGCAGAAAAUUCAAGAAGAAUUUGCAGUGGAUUAUCUACUUAUUUGUGUAGUUUCUUUUCCUUUUAUAUGUAAGGAGCAUGUUUUCAAUUAAAAGCAUAUAGAAAAAUGAAAGUACAAGUCACAUCACAAUUAGACUAAAAUUGUGGUGAAGUGCUGGGAGACUCAAGAUAGAAAGAUCUGAAUCGGGGUGGGAAGGGGGGAACAGUAUUAGAGAUGGGUAACACAGAACAAAUAGGUUUGAUGAAAUACCAGGACUCAAACUGAAAAAUCUUGAAGAAAUAUAGGCAGAUGAAGCUAACUGGCAGUCUGGAAGAACUAAUUUACCAUCAGAACAUAGGAGAAACAAAAAAUGAUACAAAGCUAUAGACACAAAAUCAACAUUUAGUUUCAUUUCAGAGAUGUAAGCCUGAGUAGAAGCAAUUAGCAAUAAUUGAAAAACCAGUAGCUACCAGCAGGGUAUGAUGUUCUACUUUUCAGUCUAAAUUAACUGAAAGCUGACUACCCUAGACUAAAUAAAGCCUUUUCUCUCAACUCUCAUACUGAUUACAAAUCCUCUGACUGCUGAUGCCAUGGACAACAUAUUCUUCAUAACCCCAAUGUUGGUGGGUUUAACUUGACCAUUUCCAGUCAGUGACUUCCAUUUUUGAAGGGUAUGCAUUGUGCAUCACAAACUUUGAUUUAUUAGGAUCUAUUGUUUCUCCUAUCCAUUGGUAAUGUCUUCCAGUUGCAGACGUAUCUGUGGAGAGAUUGUUGAGGGGAAAAUGACAAUUGUAUUAUGUCAUCGAAGAAUGUGAAUAUUUGUGUGAGUUAUGAUGAAAGUACACAUUGUAACAUUUCCAUAAUAGUGCAUUUACAAUAUUGAUCUCGUUAUGGCUUAUUAUGGUGCCUAUGUCUGAUUUGUGAAUAUAAGAAAUCAGCAUCCCCUUUUUACAAAAUAUGUACUAUUACUUUUCAAACUGCUUACAGUGCCAGUGACUAGAUCCUCAUGUUAUGCUAAUCCAUAAAAUGGUUUGUUGGGUUUUGUUGUAGCAUAUUAUAUGAGCUCAGUCGUUUGUUUGUUGUUGUUUUUUGGUAAAUCAUACUUGUGUGAGCUAAGUCAAGAAAUAUGUGAAUCCUAUUUGUGUAUUUGUUUUAAUGAUCACUCUGAUGUAAGAUAUCAGUGGAGUAGGACCACCUAAAACAUCAAAUUAUAUUGUUACACUUUUACUAUUUGCUGUAUAGUAUUCUUUGCAUGUUGAAAUGCACCUCUAAAAUUAUUUCUUUUUAGGUGCCUACAGUCCAGAGAGACUAUUUGCCCUCUUCUGCUAAAACAAUUCAAGUUGUGUGCAUCUGCUGUAUAUGCUCACCGUAUGAGCAAAGAAGUUGGUUUCUGGGGCUGAGUUUGCCCUCCUAAGAAUAUGACCAUGCAUUGAUUAAAUACAUUAGUCAGUAAAAUUCUAUAGGUUCAACAUUAUAACUUGAAAUUCAUUUUUUGAAGGUGAUAAAAAAUGUUUAUAUAUUCUGUUAUAUCAAAAUAUGUUUUUGUCAGUACAUACAUCAUUUAAUUUUAUUUUGUUACAUAAUCAUAUUUUUAUGUUCUUAAUAUUUUGGAAAUGCAAAUAUACAUGAUCAGUAGUUUUUUGUCUGAAGUUAAAUUAUAUUUACUUUUAUUUGAACUACAGAAGUUGUUAGUUUUAGAGUAUAUCAAUAGGAAUUUUAUAAAGCGGCUUGAUCGUUAAGUUUCUGAGCCCAUGUGGAACUCUAUAUUCAUAGGCCUCUUGUUUCUCUUUUUCUGAGCAAGGCAUUAAUGUUCACAUAGUGAGGAAUCUGCUGCCUUCCUCAGGCAAGAGAAUGAGAAAGUUCUGCACAUAAUUCCAGGCCAUGGGUGCUUCAGUGAUUAUAUCUAUAUUCUAUUUCCUCAUUCACUUGAGUAAGUGAUUUCAGAAUUCUUGAGAAAUCACAUUCUAGUGAAUUGCAAUUGCAGUUAUGAAUAAAGAACAAUUCUAUGUGUAUCAGGUUUUCUGCACUCCACAGAGGUGAUUCCAAAAUGAUAGAAUGUGCUAGUGUCUAACAGAGCUGGCUGACUCACUUAACGGUGUAAAUGUUGAUAGAAUUAUCCUAAUGAUGCUAUUUCUCUAGCUCAAGGGUGUCAAACUCAUGGCCCGCGGCCCAGAUGUGUCAUGUGCUGGCCACACCCACCCCUGGUUUAGUGAAGGGGAAAAAAGUCGUGAAACAUCACAUGAUGAUGUGAUGAUGCGAGUUUGACACCCCUGCUCUAGCUCAACUGCCUUGAGUUUUCAAGACCUAGAAUUAAACCUGAGGAUUUUCAAUCAUCUGGCUUUUCUACAGGAUUACAAUGCAAUUUAUUAGAUGGUUACAGUUUGAGGAUUGCGUCCCUAAGCAGAAUUUCUCUUGAAACCCUUCCCAUCUAAACCAGUGAGAUUUACUGGGGAGUAAAUGUGUUUAAAGUUACAAAAAAAUUGCAGUCUCAGGUUCUUGCUUAGUAACUGGCUGAUUUAAUGAAGACACAUGGUUAGUAACUGCACUCAAACCCAGUUGAUAGGGUCAUCAUUUAUUUCCACCUUAUUGUAUGUCUGCAUUGCUAUUUUAAUGAUAUAUGUUAUUGAAAUGGAUCUCCGUUACUUGGAGCUAAAAUAAAAUGUAGUAUGUAGUCUUAAAAUUGUAAGUAUAGGAGAUCUGGACUCUUGCAUUAUUGUUUUCAUUUUUUAAAAAUGUUCAUUAUAGAUUGUGAGCUGCUAAUCUUAUUAGGCUAAAAGGUAGACAGGAUUUUAAACAAAUCACCUGAACGAGCUGCAUAAUAUAAUAUUUGUAUUUUGCCACUAAAGAGACAAAGCUUGUUGGAUGUAGUAUCUUUUAGAUCUUGUCUUUGAAAAGAACAUAGGUGAACUUGAAAAGUUUAAAUAGAGUAAAAUUUAUAGAACAGUACAAUAUAAAAGAUGUGGGAAAUUAGUUAGAUUUAAUUAGCUUUAUUGUUUUCUUUUUUCCUUUUUCUUUUAUGUAGUUCUUAGAAAUGAGUCCAUGAUAACUGAUAAAUUUUAGCUUUUAUAACUCUGAAUAUAAAAAUAAAAUUGUGACAAUGAUUAAAUAAUUCUACAUUUGUUGAAUGGGGGUGCCAAGGAAAAAAACAUCUUUUGUGUUUUUAGACAAACUAUUGAGCAAAAGACAUUUGAUUGAGGAUAAUCACUAUCUGUUAACACUGAUGUUGUUAGCACAGCAGAAGAGGCGGUAUAAAAGAAUAGCCUAAUUGUUGAACUACAAAUUAAACAGCACAUUCCAUAUACUGAGCUGACAUUCAAAAGCAUCAGUCCGUGAAUGAUCCAUGCUUUAAUUUCAAUAACAAAUCAUACUACAAUAAAUGCUAGACCACUGCUUGUAUAUAAAGUUUUAGAGAAAAAUUGGGGAUUAAGGUAAGAAUUGUUAUUGUCACGUCUUAGUUUCUUUUUGUUCUCUUAUUAUAAAUUAAAAGAAGGGUGAGAAGUGAAAGUGGAAUAUUGAUGAAGCCUAUUAUGUGUUAAUUAUUAGAAACUGGAGCCAUUGAUGAUUUUAAAAAAUAUGAAUUGGAUGUCUCUAGUUCAGCAAGGACUCAACAUGUUCAGAGAUUCCUUCUAAGAGCACAUACUGAUUAAACCUGAGGUACAUCGAUGUUUAUAAAACUCUUGGUGUACAGUAAUAUAAUAUUAAAAAUAUUGGCAUUGACCGGUUUUUAAAAUUAUUUUAUUCUGGUCAUUAGCUGUCUUAUCUCUGCUUCCAUGCCAUCAGUCCAAAUUGAAAGCAAUGUAAUAUAAUUGUAGCCUUCCACAAAGUUUGAUGAAUCAGAAAAUUAUUCUCACAGUUGAAAAAAAAAGUUGUUAGAAUUUGGCCUGAAAAUAACAUGGAUUACCACUGCUAUAAAAAUCAAUAAGUGAAACUUUGCCUAUGAAAUCAAACAACCUACAAAAAAGUGUGAUUAUGUAUCACAGACCCAGCCAAAGAUUCACUUGCCUUUGAUUGAAAAGAUGUUCCAUCCCAAAUAUUGCUACUACUGAGUGUGCUGUGAAUGGGAGAAAGUCAUGCGUACCUUUCUGAGACUAUCUUCCAAGACUAAGAAUGGAUCUGAACUCUCCAGUGUGAUGUAAGGAAGAAUCGUAGCAUCUAAUACAUUCAGAGCUUGGUGUCUGUGCUUAAUGGGCCUUAUAUAUUAUGCUGUUUAACCUAGAAUUGUUCUCUCUGUUCUGUUAAAUGCAACUCUUAGAAUUAAACCAUUAGAACUCUUAAUAUGAGAUGGCAGCAUAUUAAAUAAAUGAAUAAUAUCAGAAUGGUUCUGUCCUAAUUAAGUAACUUUUAUAUCAAAAUCCAUUUAUGAUUUUUGGCUAAUUGCAAUAAAAGUUCCCUUAAACUGAAAAUGGCACUUUCAGUGGAGCGCUACGUGAGAUAAAAGAUUGUACUUUGUUCUUCAGUCAUGUCCUGCUUUUUGAAUAAGAACAUCAUCCAUCUAAAACUGCUUCAACUACUGUUUCUUUUCAAAGCUGCAUAAAUUGAUGGAACAUGGUUACUGCUGUUUAAAAACUCUGUUUCUCAUUCAACUAAGAGAGGCUAGAUCAGUUUGCAACGAAACAUCAUGGAUUAAACUACAUAUGUUCUGCUCUUCCAAUAUUUCUUACAUCAACAUGUUAUUUUAGAGUGUGCUUGCUAUAUUAUAUCUACAUUCUGCAAUCAUGACAAUGCUGAAAUUCUGUGAACAUUUAUUACAAAUAGUUUUGUUAAAGAAGUGUAGAAAUGUACUGUAUGAAACAAUAACAUUUAUGCCUAGAUAUGAACUUGUUUUAUAUUAUCACUUUUGAAAUAUUGUAUAUUACAAAAUUAUUGAUGAGCUGCUUGGAUAAUUAUAUACAUAUCUCUACAUUACUUAGGUGUCUUUUAUUAGUAGAUGUCAUCAAAUCUGCUAAUUAUAAAGAUUUUAGGAAAGUUUGAUGAAAGAUUUGAACGUUUAAGAAAAGAUGUUCAGAAAUGUGAUAAUACAGACCUGUGUGGCUUGUCAUACUUCUUUGUGUCAUGGAAAUAGUCUAUUGACAGGCAAAAGGUUGAAGAAGACAUGCAAAUGUGUUCACCUUCCUGUCAAUUUUAAAGCAGGAUUCCUUGGUGUAACAAAUGGACAUCAUCGGGAAGCAAGGGGAAAGUGAUAUCACACACAUCAUAACAACAAACAAAUUAUUCAAAUUAUGUAAUUCAUGAUAAUGAAUUGAUGUUAUACAUUUGAUAUCAUGGUUUCUGUCAGUUAUGUGGGGUAUUAAAACAUUGCAGUUUAUUUUCAUGCUCACAGAAAUGCAGAUACUUAGAGCACAAUCCUUUAAAUGAUUGUUGAAAACAAACCUUCCUUAGUUGAGUUUAACACCAGAUGUGUGUAAAGGAUUAGUAUUGCUUGUUAAAUAGAUUUUAUAUUUAAGUACUACAAUGUAGAUGAAUUGUUGAUUAAAAAAUGAGAUGUUUAGAUUUGAUUUUUGAGACACAGAUAUGGAACUGGAUAUUUUUCUGUUUGUAAGGUCAAAAACCAUGUAUAUAAUAUAGUUGAAGAUAAGUAUCAGUAUGAAAAACUACUAUCAAAACAUUUCAAAUUCAGGAAUAUUUUUUUUAUUAUUUUAAUUAGAUGAAAAGCAUUUUGAAAGAAAAUAUGCCUUCAUAUAUUUUAGGCACCGUUCUCGGCUUUACUUUUAUAAACUUUUUAACAUUGAAAUGUAAAAAUAAAUGCAAAAUCUUCAAGUAAAGUAUAUUAAAUUGACAACACAAA